rnacentral:rRNA from 1 species
GCUGAAUUGUAGNUCGCAACGAGCGCACUNUCUUAGUUGCCAGCAUUCAGUUGGGCACUCUAAGGAGACUGCCGGUGUUAAACCGGAGGAAGGUGGGGAUGACGUCAAGUCCUCAUGGCCCUUAUGUCCAGGCUACACACGUGCUACAAUGGCCGGUACAAAGGGCUAGCGAUACCGCGAAGGUGGAGCUAAUCCCAAAAAGCCUGGUCUCAGUUCGGAUUGGAGUCUGCAACUCGACUCCAUGAAGUUGGAAUCGCUAGUAAUCGCGGAUCAGCAUGCCGCGGUGAAUACGUUCCCGGGCCGU